GAUGAAGAACGCAGCGAAAUGCGAUAAGUAAUGUGAAUUGCAGAAUUCAGUGAAUCAUCGAAUCUUUGAACGCACAUUGCGCCCGCCAGCAUUCUGGCGGGCAUGCCUGUUCGAGCGUCAUUUCAACCAUCAAGCCCCCAGGGGCUUGUGCUGGGGCCCUGCGGCUGCCCGCAGGCCCUGAAAACCAGUGGCGGGCUCGCUAGUCACACCGAGCGCAGUAGCACAUCUCGCUCAGGGCGUGCGGCGGGCUCCUGCCGUGAAACCCCCCACUGUAACCCCAAAGGUUGACCUCGGAUCAGGUAGGAAUACCCGCUGAACUUAAGCAUAUCAAUAAGCGGAGGA
rnacentral:misc_RNA from 1 species